rnacentral:rRNA from 1 species
AUUGAACGCUGGCGGCAGGCCUAACACAUGCAAGUCGAGCGGUAGCACAGAGAGCUUGCUCUCGGGUGACGAGCGGCGGACGGGUGAGUAAUGUCUGGGAAACUGCCUGAUGGAGGGGGAUAACUACUGGAAACGGUAGCUAAUACCGCAUAACGUCUUCGGACCAAAGUGGGGGACCUUCGGGCCUCACGCCAUCGGAUGUGCCCAGAUGGGAUUAGCUAGUAGGUGGGGUAAUGGCUCACCUAGGCGACGAUCCCUAGCUGGUCUGAGAGGAUGACCAGCCACACUGGAACUGAGACACGGUCCAGACUCCUACGGGAGGCAGCAGUGGGGAAUAUUGCACAAUGGGCGCAAGCCUGAUGCAGCCAUGCCGCGUGUGUGAAGAAGGCCUUCGGGUUGUAAAGCACUUUCAGCGAGGAGGAAGGCAGUCGUGUUAAUAGCACGGUUGAUUGACGUUACUCGCAGAAGAAGCACCGGCUAACUCCGUGCCAGCAGCCGCCGAGUAAAC